rnacentral:rRNA from 1 species
AGAGUUUGAUCCUGGCUCAGAGCGAACGCUGGCGGCAGGCUUAACACAUGCAAGUCGAGCGGGCGUAGCAAUACGUCAGCGGCAGACGGGUGAGUAACGCGUGGGAACGUACCUUUUGGUUCGGAACAACCCAGGGAAACUUGGGCUAAUACCGGAUAAGCCCUUACGGGGAAAGAUUUAUCGCCGAAAGAUCGGCCCGCGUCUGAUUAGCUAGUUGGUGAGGUAACGGCCCACCAAGGCGACGAUCAGUAGCUGGUCUGAGAGGAUGAUCAGCCACAUUGGGACUGAGACACGGCCCAAACUCCUACGGGAGGCAGCAGUGGGGAAUAUUGGACAAUGGGCGCAAGCCUGAUCCAGCCAUGCCGCGUGAGUGAUGAAGGCCCUAGGGUUGUAAAGCUCUUUUGUGCGGGAAGAUAAUGACGGUACCGCAAGAAUAAGCCCCGGCUAACUUCGUGCCAGCAGCCGCGGUAAUACGAAGGGGGCUAGCGUUGCUCGGAAUCACUGGGCGUAAAGGGUGCGUAGGCGGGUUUUUAAGUCAGGGGUGAAAUCCUGGAGCUCAACUCCAGAACUGCCUUUGAUACUGAAGAUCUUGAGUUCGGGAGAGGUGAGUGGAACUGCGAGUGUAGAGGUGAAAUUCGUAGA